rnacentral:rRNA from 1 species
GACGAACGCUGGCGGCGUGCUUAACACAUGCAAGUCGAACGGAAAGGCCCUGCUUUUGUGGUGUGCUCGAGUGGCGAACGGGUGAGUAACACGUGAUUAACCUGCCCUUGACUUUGGUAUAACUUCAGGAAACUGGUGCUAAUACCGGAUAGGAGCUCCUGCUGCAUGGUGGGGGUUGGAAAGUUUCGGCGGUUGGGGAUGGACUCGCGGCUUAUCAGCUUGUUGGUGGGGUAGUGGCUUACCAAGGCUUUGACGGGUAGCCGGCCUGAGAGGGUGACCGGCCACAUUGGGACUGAGAUACGGCCCAGACUCCUACGGGAGGCAGCAGUGGGGAAUAUUGCACAAUGGGCGGAAGCCUGAUGCAGCAACGCCGCGUGCGGGAUGACGGCCUUCGGGUUGUAAACCGCUUUCGCCUGUGACGAAGCGUGAGUGACGGUAAUGGGUAAAGAAGCACCGGCUAACUACGUG